rnacentral:lncRNA from 1 species
GGGUCAACUUGUUGCUCAAUGGUUCCAAUGAGUCAUUAUCUAUGUUAAUUAUUUUACUAACAACAAAGUUCUUCCAAGAACAAUGCAAAGUUUUGCUUGUUACAAUCUAAGGGCCCAUUUGACCGCCGGUAAUCUAGCAUGGAAAAAUAAAGCCCAUGCCAUGUUACUUUAUUUGGUAUAAAAAGUAGAUGAGAGAAAUGGUAAAAUAAAAAAUUAAAAUUAUAUUUAUUUUUCUAAGAACAAAGAUAAAAUGAAUACUAUCAAAAAAAAAAGAUAUUUAUUUUUCAUGUUGGAUUAUUAAGUAGAAAUAAUCU